ensembl:lncRNA
AUCAAAUGCUAGAAGAAACUGAAAAGACUGGAGGCAUCUAUUAGUAUUUUGUGUGUGUAAAUACUGCAAGUGUUAGUUGUUGUGUCUGACUUCAGUCUGUUGGUUUAUUUCAGGGGGAGCAGGGCCUAACCGGGGAAAAAGGGAGACAGGGGCUGAAGGGAGAGCAGGUGAUAUACAGUAUUUAGAUGUGCAUGUAAAUGUACAAUGAGACUGUUGGCAUGUAGAAUAAAGAAUCAUUUCUGCCUCUUUUUAGGGGGAUAUUGGCCCAACAGGUCAAAGAGGGACCCCAGGUCUACCAGGGAUGCCGGGCCUGUUUGGAGAAAAGGUUUGGAACAAACAUUUAAAUACAGGGUUAAAUACACAUUGUUCUCUUAUCUAGUUUGCUUUUGCAGUUAACAUUUGUCUAUGAUGAAAUGUGAUUUAUUCAGGGUUUAAAAGGAUAUCCAGGACUUACUGGUCCUAAAGGAAAGAGUGGACCUCCUGUGAGUUUGACAGUUCUGACAGACACCUAAGUGAUAUAUGCAAAACAUGAGUCAUGACAUUAAUGUAUGAGCUGUAGUAACUGUUAACUGUGUUGAUUUUAGGGUCCACCAGGUCUUCCAGGUCCACCGGGCUUAUCUCUGAACCUAACACUGACUCAGCUAAAAGUAGGAAGCUGAUAAGUGAUUUUAGAAUAUUUCGAAUGUUGCUUAGAAUCCAUUCAUUGUAUAACACAUUUAAUCAGGUGUU